rnacentral:rRNA from 1 species
GACGAACGCUGGCGGCGUGCUUAACACAUGCAAGUCGAGCGGUAAGGCCCUUUCGGGGUACACGAGCGGCGAACGGGUGAGUAACACGUGGGUGACCUGCCCUCAGCUCUGGGAUAAGCCUGGGAAACCGGGUCUAAUACCGGAUAUGACUCCAUGACGCAUGUUGUGGGGUGGAAAGCCUUGUGCGGCUGAGGAUGGGCCCGCGGCCUAUCAGCUUGUUGGUGGGGNGAUGGCCUACCAAGGCGACGACGGGUAGCCGGCCUGAGAGGGCGACCGGCCACACUGGGACUGAGACACGGCCCAGACUCCUACGGGAGGC